AUAUAACUAAGCGGAGGAAAAGAAACUAACAAGGAUUCCCCUAGUAACGGCGAGUGAAGCGGGAUAAGCUCAAGCUUAAAAUCUCCAUAUGAGUUUCAUAUGGCGAAUUGUAGUCUAUGGAGGCUGUUGUCAGCACAGUGAACCGAGCUAAGUCCCUUGGAAGAGGGCAGCAUGGAGGGUGAUACUCCCGUCUUUGCUUGGAUCACUUGUGUGUACGACACGCUUUCUUCGAGUCGAGUUGCUUGGGAAUGCAGCUCAAAGUAGGUGGUAAAUUCCAUCUAAAGCUAAAUAUAGGUGCGAGACCGAUAGCGAACAAGUACCGUGAGG
rnacentral:rRNA from 1 species